UACGGAGGGUGCAAGCGUUAUCCGGAUUCACUGGGUUUAAAGGGUGCGUAGGCGGGUAAGUAAGUCCGUGGUGAGAUCUCUGAGCUUAACUCAGAAACUGCCGUGGAUACUAUUUGCCUUGAAUAUUGUGGAGGUGAGCGGAAUAUGUCAUGUAGCGGUGAAAUGCUUAGAUAUGACAUAGAACACCAAUUGCGAAGGCAGUUCACUACACAAUCAUUGACGCUGAGGCACGAGAGCGUGGGGAUCAAACAGG
rnacentral:rRNA from 1 species